rnacentral:rRNA from 1 species
UACGUAGGGGGCGAGCGUUGUCCGGAUUUACUGGGCGUAAAGAGCGCGUAGGCGGAAAUUUAAGCGUGGCCUGAAAGCCCCCCGGCUCAACCGGGGAGUGCGGCUGCGAACUGGGUUUCUUGAGGACGAUAGAGGAGAGUGGAAUUCCUGGUGUAGCGGUGAAAUGCGUAGAUAUCAGGAGGAACACCGGUGGCGAAGGCGGGUCUCUGGGCAGUAACUGACGCUGAGGAGCGAAAGCGUGGGGAGCGAACAGG